AACAGGAUUAGAUACCCUGGUAGUCCACGCCCUAAACGAUGAUAACUCGAUGUUGGCGAUAGACCGCCAGCGUCCCAGCGAAAGCGUUAAGUUAUCCACCUGGGGAGUACGCCCGCAAGGGUGAAACUCAAAGGAAUUGACGGGGGCCCGCACAAGCGGAGGAGCAUGUGGUUUAAUUCGAUGAUACGCGAGGAACCUUACCCGGGCUUGAAAGUUAGUGAAGGAUGCAGAGACGCAUCCGUCCUUCGGGACACGAAACUAGGUGCUGCAUGGCUGUCGCCAGCUCGUGCCGUGAGGUGUUGGGUUAAGUCCCGCAACGAGCGCAACCCCUAUGUUUAGUUGCCAGCAAGUAAUGUUGGGGACUCUAAACAGACUGCCUGCGCAAGCAGAGAGGAAGGUGGGGACGACGUCAAGUCAUCAUGGCCCUUACGUCCGGGGCUACACACGUGCUACAAUGGAUGGUACAGCGGGCAGCUACAUAGCAAUAUGGUGCUAAUCUCUAAAAGCCAUUCACAGUUCGGAUUGGGGUCUGCAACUCGACCCCAUGAAGUUGGAUUCGCUAGUAAUCGCGUAUCAGCAAUGACGCGGUGAAUACGUUCCCGGGCCUUGUACACACCGCCCGUCAAGCCAUGAAAGUUGGGGGUACCUAAAGCAUGUGACCGCAAGGAGCGUGUUAGGGUAAAACCGAUAAUUGGGGCUAAGUCGUAACAAGGUAACC
rnacentral:rRNA from 1 species